rnacentral:tRNA from 1 species
AAGAUUUUAAGUUAUCUAAACUAUCAGCCUUCAAACCUGCUAAAAAAAGUACUAAUCUUUUAAAUCUUA